GCUCCGCCGGGCCGGGGUCGGCUCGGCCGCUUCGGCGGGCUUGGGCGGAGCUUCGACCUCCCCUCGUUCGAUCGCCUCGAUCGCGGAGUCCC
rnacentral:tRNA from 1 species